GUGAAUCAUCGAAUCUUUGAACGCAAAUUGCACUCUCUUCGGAGAGUAUGCCUGUUUGAGGGUCAGUAUUAAUAAAAAUCGGUGAGUUGCUUCUUUGUGACGAUCCGGAGUUUGGGUCAUCUUAAUAUCGUUUAGGUUUGAAGAGGCUUAAGAUUGACUUUUUUAGCGCAUGUUAGAUGUACAUAAAAUCUUUUUUUAAUUCGUCUGUCUUAAUGCGCAAAAGCCUAUUAGAUGCGACCAUAUCGUGUGGAUUCGUGUCGA
rnacentral:misc_RNA from 1 species